CCUACGGGAGGCAGCAGUGGGGAAUAUUGGACAAUGGGCGAAAGCCUGAUCCAGCAAUGCCGCGUGAGUGAUGAAGGCCUUAGGGUUGUAAAGCUCUUUUACCAGGGAUGAUAAUGACAGUACCUGGAGAAUAAGCUCCGGCUAACUCCGUGCCAGCAGCCGCGGUAAUACGGAGGGAGCUAGCGUUGUUCGGAAUUACUGGGCGUAAAGAGUACGUAGGCGGUUAUUCAAGUCAGAGGUGAAAGCCCGGGGCUCAACCCCGGAACUGCCUUUGAAACUAGAUAGCUAGAGUCUUGGAGAGGUUAGUGGAAUUCCGAGUGUAGAGGUGAAAUUCGUAGAUAUUCGGAAGAACACCAGUGGCGAAGGCGACUAACUGGACAAGUACUGACGCUGAGGUACGAAAGCGUGGGGAGCAAACAGGAUUAGAUACCCUGGUAGUCCACGCCGUAAACGAUGAUAACUAGUUGUUCGGGCACUUGGUGCCUGAGUGACGCAGCUAACGCAUUAAGUUAUCCGCCUGGGGAGUACGGUCGCAAGAUUAAACUCAAAGGAAUUGACGG
rnacentral:rRNA from 1 species